GAGGUAGAGCUACUGGAUUGCCGAUGGGCCUUCACGGGUUACUGACGUCAGCUAAACUCCGAAUGCCGGUAAGUGAGAGCGUAGCAGUGAGACAGUGGGGGAUAAGCUUCAUUGUCGAGAGGGAAACAGCCCAGACCACCAACUAAGGCCCCUAAGCGUGUGCUAAGUGGGAAAGGAUGUGGAGUUGCUUAGACAACCAGGAGGUUGGCUUAGAAGCAGCCACCCUUGAAAGAGUGCGUAAUAGCUCACUGGUCAAGUGAUUCUGCGCCGAUAAUGUAGCGGGGCUCAAGUACACCGCCGAAGUUGUGGCAAUGAUCUUUUUGGAUUGUUGGGUAGGGGAGCGUUGUGUAGCCAGUGAAGCUGCGGUGUAAACCAGUGGUGGAGGCUAUGCGAGUGAGAAUGCAGGCAUGAGUAGCGAAAGAUGAGUGAGAAACUCAUCCGCCGGAUGAUCAAGGGUUCCAGGGUCAAGUUAAUCUGCCCUGGGUUAGUCGGGGCCUAAGGCGAGGCCGACAGGCGUAGUCGAUGGAUAACGGGUUGAUAUUCCCGUACCGGUGAAAAACCGCCCAUACUGAUAUUGUGAUGCUAACCAUGCGAAGCAUGAUGUGCAGGCUUUUGUUUGUGUGUUGUGUGGGUUGUGGGACCCGAUCUUUGGAGGUAAACGUGUU
rnacentral:rRNA from 17 species